rnacentral:misc_RNA from 1 species
GAUGAAGAACGUAGCGAAAUGCGAUAAGUAAUGUGAAUUGCAGAAUUCAGUGAAUCAUCGAAUCUUUGAACGCACAUUGCGCCCGCCGGUAUUCUGGCGGGCAUGCCUGUCCGAGCGUCAUUUCAACCCCUCGAGCCCCCGGGCCCGGUGUUGGGGAACGACCAGCAGCCCUCCGGGGCGGUCGUCCCUGAAAUACAGUGGCGGUCACGUCGCGGACCCUCUGCGUAGUAGCAACACCUCGCACUGGAGAGCGGCGCGCCCACGCCCCGAAACACUUCUUUCACAGGUUGACCUCGGAUCAGGUAGGAAUACCCGCUGAACUUAAGCAUAUCAAUAAGCGGAGGA